rnacentral:lncRNA from 1 species
AGGCAGGUGAUGCCUUCUGGGACUGGUGUCAACCUCAUUUUUCCAUUCUGCCUCCAGUACCGCACGGCGUUUGCCCCGAUGCUUUGGGACACCUUUUCGCCCCUCUAAAGGCAUCAGGCGGGGUUAGAAAAGACGCUUUCUGGAGGCCUCUGCUCACGUUCCACUGCAAAGGAAACCCACGGUCCCCAAGAAGUGUUUCUGCAAAGCGCCCGCAUUCCCGCGUGUUAUCACCCUAUCCCCAGCGAUCAUUUUGAUUACCCUUGAAUACUAAAGAUAAAAAAAAUUCCCUGCGUAACAGUUUUGUGCAAAAACGAGGAGAAAAAAAAAAACAACAACAGAAAAAGAAGACAGGAAGAGGUUGUCCUAUCAGAAGGUGGGCUUCCAGGUUCUCCGCGAACACAGGAGCCCCGGGGCCCGGCGGAGGGGGCCCGGCGGCCUGGAGGCCAGGGGCAGCUACGGGGCGCCCCCGGGGUACUCGGGGCUGUCCAGGCCGGCUUUGGGGCCGUGGCUGUUGCAGGGCUCAUCCUUCUUCCGGUCCUUCUCCAUCCACGUGCCCAGCAGCCGCUGCUUGCCCUGCUCCUCCCUCAUGAACAGCUCCACCAUGAGGACCUUCUCCUUGUGGAUCUGCUGGCUGAUGUCCUUGGGG